rnacentral:rRNA from 1 species
GAGUUUGAUCCUGGCUCAGAUUGAACGCUGGCGGCAGGCCUAACACAUGCAAGUCGAGCGGUAGAGAGAAGCUUGCUUCUCUUGAGAGCGGCGGACGGGUGAGUAAUGCCUAGGAAUCUGCCUGGUAGUGGGGGAUAACGCUCGGAAACGGACGCUAAUACCGCAUACGUCCUACGGGAGAAAGCAGGGGACCUUCGGGCCUUGCGCUAUCAGAUGAGCCUAGGUCGGAUUAGCUAGUUGGUGAGGUAAUGGCUCACCAAGGCGACGAUCCGUAACUGGUCUGAGAGGAUGAUCAGUCACACUGGAACUGAGACACGGUCCAGACUCCUACGGGAGGCAGCAGUGGGGAAUAUUGGACAAUGGGCGAAAGCCUGAUCCAGCCAUGCCGCGUGUGUGAAGAAGGUCUUCGGAUUGUAAAGCACUUUAAGUUGGGAGGAAGGGCAGUAAAUUAAUACUUUG